rnacentral:siRNA from 1 species
UUGGAGGACCUUUGACUAUA